CAUCGGUCAUUUUCUGCCAAGAUCCACUUCUGUGCAACUAGUACAGACUAAAAUCGCUGUUUUGUGGCAAUUUAACGCUUUAGUAAUUUUUGCGUUCCUUUGUGGAUUAAUAGCUACAAAAUUAGCAAAUUAAAUGAAUUAUAUCUCGUAGGAGUUCUUUUGAAAUUCAUUUGCUGACUUUGGUUAGGAUAAAUGGUUUUGAUCUUAUAGUAGCAUAGAAAAUCUUUCGCUUAAAUAAAUCAAUUUAUAUUGGAGGACUCGAAAGCUAGAACAAUUUUAUUAAUUAUGUUGCUUUCCCAUUGCUGAAUUCUGAAAGUGUAAAAAAAAGUAUAUAAAAGCCACAAAAUUCCACCACUGUGGUUGAAGGAUAGGGUGAAAAGAAAGACCCAAAGCAGCUCUAUUAUUCCUCGUUGGUCUCCAGUUUCCAGAUUGGAUGAAAGUUAGUUUGAUAUAAGUUCCAGAUAUGUCCAGUUGUUUGAUGGUGUCCUCGAUUCCUUGAGUCUGUUGUGGUGUCCCAGGCUCCCAGAUAAGUUUUUUUGUAAAUUUGGUGCAGCCUGAAUGCUGAAAACAAAAGAUUAAUAUAUAUAUUUUUUUGUAAUUUAAAUUAAGGCUCAAUUGAAAACUUACGUAUUUUUACUUACCGUGUCCAAAGUGUAAUCUUUGCAAGUAUUUAUUUUGUUCAAAAGUAGUGCUUAAAAAUAUUACUUAUCGACACAAAAAGUGUGCGAUAACACAGUUUUUUUAUUUUUUAUAUCGGCAGAAGUGUAAACCAAAUUGUGAUCACAAUAAGGUGGGUUUAUCUUCAUUGUAUUUUUUUAUAAGCUUUAUUAAGUAAUACCAUGGUAUAAUAGCUCGUUUUUUAGUAGUGUUGAAAUUUUCAUAACCUUACGGUUCUUGAAAACAUCUUGUCGAACUUGCAUUGUCUUAUUUAUUUAAUGUAACACGACGUUUCGGUUGGUAAGUAUCUCCAACCGUCAUCAAGUGUAAACUUCGGUUCUUCCCCCAAUUAAAGUUAUAUAAUU